AGGACAUACGGGUCUAGAGGGAAACGAGAUUGCUGAUGAGCUUGCCAGGAAUGGAUCUAAUGAAAGGUUCAUUGGCCCUGAGCCCUUCUGCGGGAUCUCAGACUGCUCUGUAAAAAUGGAACUGAACAAAUAUAUGGUCAGUCAAAUUACAUCAAACUGGAAUGCACUUCCCCAUACGAGCCAAUCCAAAAGGCUCGUAACGAUAAACCCCAAGAAAACCCAACAACUAUUAGGUCUCAACAAAAGGGAUCUCAACAUCUACACCGAUCGGAGCAAUCCAAACCUCAAAUUGCCGCUUCUGUGACGAGGAGAGGGAAACAUCAGAACACAUCCUCUGCUAUUGCAGUGCACUCACUCAACGUAGGUUCAAAGUUCUCAGCAAGCCCUUUUUAGGGCCUGCUGACAUAUGGAUCUUAUCUCCCAAGGACGUGGUUGGCUUCAUAAAGCUAGUCUCGCCAGAAUGGGGGAGUCACAUACUGUAACUCAGGAUCUCUAUUCAUCAAUAAUAGAUGGUCUUGAGUUCAGUCGAUACCUAGGUAUCUCAGUGACAAAUAUGUUACUGAGAUAACUUGCGUACCUCACAGCAAAAGGGUAUAUCACAAUAGUUCUAAAAUCUGGACGCAGUGAUCUUCA